AACCCCGAAACCAGGUGAGCUACCCCGAGACAGCCUAUUAAAAUAGGGCUAACCCGUCUCUGUGGCAAAAGAGUGGGAAGAGCUCCGGGUAGAAGUGAUAGACCUACCGAACCUGGUGAUAGCUGGUUGCCUGAGAAAUGGAUAGAAGUUCAGCCUCGCACACCCCCUAAUCAAAAUUUUUACUUAAGAUAUUGGGAAAAAUACGAGAGUUAGUUAAAGGGGGUACAGCCCCUUUAACAAAGGAUACAACCUUAACAGAAGGAUAAAGAUCAAAAUAUACAAAACAUCCUGUUCUAGUGGGCCUAAAAGCAGCCACCUAAACGGAAAGCGUUAAAGCUCAGACAGAAAAAAGUUUAUUAUAAGGAUAAUAAAUCUUAUUCCCCUAAUACUAUCAGGCUAUUCCAUGCCCCCAUGGAAGAAAUUAUGCUAAAAUGAGUAACAAGAAGAACUGAUCUUCUCCAAGCACAAGUGUAAGCCAGAUCGGACAAACCACUGGAAAAUAACGAGCCCAAAUAACAGAGGGUAAUGUAGACAACAAAGAAAUCAGGAAAACCCUACAACUUAGACAUCGUUAACCCCACACUGGAGUGCUAAAUAAAAGGAAAGACUAAAAGAAAGGAAAGGAACUCGGCAAACACAAGCCUCGCCUGUUUACCAAAAACAUCGCCUCCUGCAACUAUUUACGUAUAGGAGGUCCAGCCUGCCCAGUGACUAUAAGUUUAACGGCCGCGGUAUUUUGACCGUGCAAAGGUAGCGCAAUCACUUGUCUUUUAAAUAGAGACCUGUAUGAAUGGCCAAACGAGGGCUUAACUGUCUCCCCCUUCCAGUCAGUGAAAUUGAUCUAUCCGUGCAGAAGCGGGUAUAAAUAUACAAGACGAGAAGACCCUUUGGAGCUUAAGGUACAAAGUUUAACCAUGUUAAACAACUUAUUAAAAAGCAAAAACUUAAUGGAAAAUAAACAUUUACCUUCGGUUGGGGCGACCGCGGAGGAAAAAUCAGCCUCCGAGUGGAACGGGCUAAAUACCUAAAACCAAGAGAGACAUCUCUAAGCCGCAGAAAAUCUGACCAAAAAUGAUCCGACACAUAGUCGAUCAACGAACCAAGUUACCCUAGGGAUAACAGCGCAAUCCUCUCCCAGAGUCCAUAUCGACGAGGGGGUUUACGACCUCGAUGUUGGAUCAGGACAUCCUAAUGGUGCAGCCGCUAUUAAGGGUUCGUUUGUUCAACGAUU
rnacentral:rRNA from 1 species